GUAGAUCGUCGGGCUCAUAACCCGAAGGUCGCAGGUUCAAAUCCUGCC
rnacentral:tRNA from 1 species